ACAAAAAUGAAAUACUUCUGAAAUAGGUUUUAUUUUCAAAUAACUAUUAAUGUUUCAGCAAUGAUAUAACUUAAAACUAAGGUUUCAUUUUAUUAAAAGGAUUUAAAUAGAGACAUCAAUAGUGCAGCAUGUGUUUUUUCAAGAACUGAUUAUAAAACAAUUACAAUCUUAAGCUUUUCCAUAUUAAAUUAUGAAAUCACAACCUACUGAAAUCAGAUAAUAAAAAUGCUUGCUUGAGCUGUAGAGUUCUACAGAUGUACUAACCAACAUAAAAUUUCAUUUCCUUUCAAUUCUGUAUAACUAAAAGAUUUUGUGAUACAAGUGACUGAAAAAAGUCAAAAUGUUUUCACUAGCACAUUUCAAUAAUUCUGUGAUUCAAAACCGACAUAUUUAGACAUUAAGGCUGAAGCAAGAAUGUCUAACAGUAAUAUCAGAAAUUUGAAACCUUUAGCUUGCAAUUUCAAUAAAUAGCUUAACUUGCACUAACAGCUAAAGACCAAACAUGAAAUUGAUAUUAAGUGAAGGCCAGUCAACACAUUCUCACAGUUGAAAAGAUUGAUAAGAUUGAAGGGCUUGCUGAUUAGUGACUAAAAAAACAGCCAUGUCUUUGAUCACUGAUUCAAUGACUAACAAAGAAUGAAGCUUUUGGAUAAAUUUAGCUCAAGAAAACAAAAAGUACCAAAAACCGGAAUGAAUUAUUGAUCAUUUUAAUUAAUUUCUUAAAAAAGUAAAAAAUAUUGGAUAUAGAUCAGAUCAGGUGGCAUCUAGUGAGAAUAAAACAAGAGUUAAUGUUGUAUGUCAAAAUGACAGAAUUUUCUCUUAAAAAUAUAAGCAAAUCUGGAUUGAUAGCAAAGCACAACCAAACGUCCUGGUUUCUCCAACUUUUCCAUUUUAAUGGGAAUUUCACGGCUACGAGAAAGUGAAGUAGAAAAAAAUAAUAAGCUACACAUUUUAGAAAAAUGUUUCUUCAGAAUAAUGUACUUAAUUACAAAGAUAAUUGUUUUCAGCUACACUUUAAAAUAAUUUUUAAAGUAGUCUGCUUAUUUCAUUAUUAAUAGCUUCGAAAUGACUCUGAUCAGAUUUUAAUAGUUCAAAAAGCUAAACGGUUUUGAUCGAUUACAAAAUUGUGAGGAUAACAUAGUCACCUGUCAAAGGUUCUAUCAGUAGUUUUAUAUGAAGGGUUCAUUCUAUAUUCUGCCCUGCUGAACUCCUUACCUACCAUCCAAUCAUCCAGCAAUCCAGGAAGUCACACAAUGCCCUGUAAAUGCACAGUACAGUACAAACUGGAACCAGGUGCACCAGACAAACAAAUUCAACUCUUCAGAUUUAAAACAGGCACGUGCAGGUUAACGGCAAGUGCAGAUGUCAGGAGAGUUAUCAUAUUUCAAACGGAAUAUUACACCAAGGCCACAUCUCAGAAUCAAGUUUAAUAUCACUGACAUGUAGUAUGUCAUGAAAUUUGUUCUUAUACAGCAACUGAGUAUGUCUUCAAGCUGCCGUACCUCCUCCCUGAUGGUAGCAAUGAAAAGAGGGCAUGUCCUGGGUGCUGGGAGUCCUUAAUGAUGGUGCCUUUUUGAGACAUCGCUUUUUGAAGAUCUCCUUGAUGCUGGGGAGGUUAGUGCCCAUGAUGGAGCUAACUGAGUUUGUAACUUUAUGCAGCUUUUUCCCUCCAUGCCAGAAGGCAAUGCAACCAGUUAGAGUGCUCCCCACUCUACAUCUGUAGAAAUUUAAGUAUUUGGUGACAUACAAAGUGUCCUCAAACUCCUAAUGAAAUAUAGCUGCUGUCAUGCCUUCUUUGUAAUUGUAUCAAUAUGUUGGGCCCAGGAUAGAUCUUCAGAAAUCUUGACACUCAGUAAACAUGAAACUGCUUACCCAUUCCAUUGCUGAUCCCUCGAUGAGAAUUGGUGUGUUUCCUCGACUUUCCGUCGUAAAGACCACACAAUCAAUUCCUUGGUUUUACUGAUGUUGAGUGCAAGGUUGGUGCUGUGACACCACUCAACUAGCUGAUCUAUCUCGCUCAUUCAUACCUCCUUAACACCAUCUGGUAUUCAACCAACAAUAGUGGUGUGCCCAGCCAGACAGUCGUGGGUGUAGAGAGUAGUGCAGUAGGCUAAGCACGCAUCCUUAAAGUGCGCCAGUGUUAAUUGUCAGCAAGUAUAAUCAUAUAACAAUUACAGCAUGGAAACAGGCCAUCUCAGCCCUUCUAGUCCAUGCCAAAUGCUUACUCUCACCUAGUUCCACCUACCUGCACUCAGUCCAUAACCCUCCAUUCCUUUCCUGUCCAUAUACCUAUCCAAUUUUUUUUUAAAUGACAAAAUUGAACCUGCCUCUACCACUUCUACUGGAAGCUCGUUCCACAUAGCUACCACUCUCUGAGUAAAGAAGUUCCCCCUCAUGUUAUCCCUAAACUUUUGCCCCUCAACUCUCAACUCAUGUCCUCUUGUUUGAAUCUCCCCUACUCUCAAUGGAAAAAGCAUAUCCACGUCAACUCUAUCCCCCUCAUAAUUUUAAAUACCUCCAAGUCGCCCCUCAACCUUCUAUGCUCCAAAGAAUAAAGACCUAACUUGUUCAACCUUUCUCUAUAACUUAGGUGCUGAAACCCAGGUAACACUCUAGUAAAUCUCCUCUGUACUCUCUCUAUUUUGUUGACAUCUUUCCUAUAAUUCGGUGACCAGAACUGUACACAACACUCCAAAUUUGGCCUCACCAAUGCCUUGUACAAUUUUAACAUUACAUCCCAACUCCUAUACUCAAUGCUCUGAUUUAUAAAGGCCAGCAUACCAAAAACUUUCUUCACCACCCUAUCCACAUGAGAUUCCACCUUCAGGGAACUCUGCACCAUUAUUCCUAGAUCACUCUGUUCUACUGCAUUCCUCAAUGCCCUACCAUUUACCAUGCAUGUCCUAUUUUGAUUAGUCCUACCAAAAUGUAGCACCUCACACUUAUCAGCAUUAAACUCCAUCUGCCAUCUUUCAGCCCACUCUUCUAACUGGCCUAAAUCUCUCUGCAAGCUUUGAAAACCUACUUCAUUAUUCACAACGCCACCUAUCUUAGUGUCAUCUGCAUACUUAUUAAUCCAAUUUACCACCCCAUCAUCCAGAUCAUUAAUGUAUAUGACAAAACACUAGUCACUGGCCUCCAACCUGACAAACAGUUAUCCACCACUGCUCUCUGGCAUCUCCCAUCCAGACACUGUUGAAUCCAUUUUACUACUUCAAUACCUAAUGAUUGAACCUUCCUAACUAACCUUCCGUGUGGAACUCUGUCAAAGGCCUGAACUGAAGUCCAUAUAGACAACAUCCACUGCUUUACCCUCAUCAACUUCCUAGUAACCUCUUCAAAAAAAUUCAAUUAAAAUUGUCAAACAUGACCUUCCAUGCACAAAUCCAUGUUGACUGUUCUUAAUCAGACCCUGUCUAUCCAGAUAAUUAUAUAUUUCAUCUCUAAGUAUUUACCCACCACUGACGUCAAACUUACAGGCCGAUAAUUGCUAGGUUUACUCUUAGAACCCUUUUUAAACAAUGGAACCACAUGAGCAAUACGCCAAACCUCCAGCACCAUCCCUGUCUCUAAUGACAUUUGGAAUAUUUCUGUUGGAAAUAUUUCUACACUAACUUCCCUCAAGGUCCUAGGGAAUAUCCUGUCAGGAUCCAGAGAUUUAUCCAUUUACCCAUUUCCAAGUAGGAAAUGUUAUUUUCUGAUCCGCAAAGAUGGUGGUCUCCUGGUGAAGAAAUUAAAAAUAUGGUUACAGAGGCCCAGGUUUUGGAGCUUGUUAAUUAGUAGACGGUAUGAUUGUGUUGAAUGCUGACUUUUUAACAAUAAACAGCAGCCCGACAUAAGUAUUACAGUUGUCCAAGUGAUCCACGUCUGAACUGUGAGCUAGUGAAAUUGCAGCGAGUCCGGAUCCUUGCUUAAGCAGGAGUUGAUACUAGCCACGACCAACCUCUCAAAGUACCUCAUCAUAGUAGAUGUGAGUGUGACUGGAUGAUAAUCAUUGAGGCAGCUCACACUAGUCUCCAUGGGAACUGUUAUGAUUGAUUUCUUUUUGAAGCAGGUGGGAACCUUUGACUGCAGCAGUGAGAAAAUUAAGAUAUCCUUGAACACUCCUGUCAAUUGGUUGGCACAGGUUUUCAGAGCUACCAGUACAUCAUCAGGGUCUCACGCCUGGCAAGGGUUCACCCUCUUGAAAAAUGUUCUGAUGUUGGCCUCCGAGACACAGGGUCACCAGAUGUUCCAGGGAUUCACACAGGAACAAAAAACACUGCUUCAGGAGAGUGCGAUUCUUUUGGAUUUUCCUGGACACUCAUCUGCAGAUUUGCUAUGUGAAUAAAGAUUUGUAAAUUUCCCAGA